UAUCUUAUAGUUCAAAGGUAGAACAAUAUACUUCUAAUAUAUAAAUAUAGGUUCGAUUCCUAUUAAGAUAU
rfam:Candida maltosa Xu316 contig5491_C16682, whole genome shotgun sequence.